rnacentral:rRNA from 1 species
UGAGGAACAUGACCUUCGGCGGGGGAUAGCCGGCCCAACGGCCGGGUAAUACCGCGUACGACCACAUGGGGACAUCCCUGAGUGGUGAAAGCAGCAAUGCGCCGAUGGAGUGCCUCGCGGCCUAUCAGCUAGUUGGUGAGGUAACGGCUCACCAAGGCGACGACGGGUAGCUGGUCUGAGAGGAUGGCCAGCCACAGUUGGGACUGAGACACGGCCCAGACCUGUACGGGGAGG